AUUGAACGCUGGCGGCAUGCCUAACACAUGCAAGUCGAACGGAGGUAGGGGCAACUCUACUUCAGUGGCGGACGGGUGAGGAAUGCGUCGGAAUCUACCCUAUGGUGGGGGAUAACACAGGGAAACUUGUGCUAAUACCGCAUGAUGUCGAGAGACCAAAGCAGGGGACCGCAAGGCCUUGCGCGAUAGGAUGAGCCGACGCCCGAUUAGCUAGUUGGUAGGGUAAAGGCCUACCAAGGCGACGAUCGGUAGCUGGUCUGAGAGGAUGAUCAGCCACACUGGGACUGAGACACGGCCCAGACUCCUACGGGAGGCAGCAGUGGGGAAUAUUGGACAAUGGGCGCAAGCCUGAUCCAGCAAUGCCGCGUGUGUGAAGAAGGCCUGCGGGUUGUAAAGCACUUUUGUUCGGGAAGAAAACGGAUCGGUUAAUACCCGGUUCGGAUGACGGUACCGAAAGAAUAAGCACCGGCUAACUUCGUGCCAGCAGCCGCGGUAAAGUA
rnacentral:rRNA from 1 species